CUUUGUUUGGUACCUGCCCAACCAGAUACGAACUGAGGGCCAUGAAAGCUGACUCACCUUCGCAGCAGAAGAUCAUGAUUCUUGGCUAUGCAAACCUGAGGCUGAUGCAUCCUCCAGCAGCUGACCACGGACAUGUGCAGCAUCACAGUGACAGAUGGCAUUUCAACCACUUGGUUUACACCUUCCUCCACUGUCACCACCAUUCUGACAGAAAUGAGUUCCAUUUGCUCCAUUUUACAUAAGGGCAAAAGGCAGCAUUGACUCACCAAGUUUACACAGUUAGGGAAAAGAGCAACCAGGUCAGGAUCAGAUACAACAAAGAAGUGAUUGCAGAUGUUAAAUGGAACAUAGCUCUGGUCGUUUGAUAAAUAUUCAGUAAUUUCUUCAGUUUGUUAAGAAAAAUUAUCCAAAAUUUACAAUUAC
rnacentral:lncRNA from 1 species